rnacentral:lncRNA from 1 species
GCAGAUGCGGGAGACCCUGGAUCCUCCAGGUCCGUCCACCCUGUGAUCCCGGGCUGACACGGCCCAGCCUUCUUCACGGCCGUGGAAGAACUCCAUUCAGAGGCAGUCGUGAUAAACCAGAGCAUCAGCCCUUUCCGCUGGGAUACCAAUAAGUCUUGAACUUCAAAACUGCUGACCUAAAAAGGAUACUUGAGAAGGAGCAAGUCUUUCCUUUUUUCUUUUAAAGAAAGCAACACCAGAAGCAGUCGAACUUCCUUGUUCACUUAGGUGCAUGCAAAAAAGAAAAGUUUACUCUGCUUCAGGACCCUCUCUUACCCCUCAUGGCGUGAGCCUGAAGCCUGUCCACUGAGGAGCGUUCUAAGAACUUCCAGAUCAUUCCAUGGAACUACAGCAGAAAGGACCCGAGGUGAGAAGAGGUAAUGUGCCAUCUUUUAGGUUCCUUGUUACUGGUUUAAGGUCUUAGACAUGCAUCCUUCCUUAUUGUAGCAAUAGCUAUCAUGUCAAUACCAGGCCCCGUGCAUUUGAUUCUGUGUUCAAACCUUUCAGGUUAAAUACUAUUAAUAUUUGCCAUUUGGCAAAUGGGCAGAUUAAGUCUUGGAAACCCUCAGUGACUGGCCAGAUCACACAAGUCAGUGAAUCCGUCAGGUUCUAAAGCUCAAGCUCUGAACUAUUUUGCUUUAUUUACUUCUUGGGCUAAAAAAUUCAGCAUCAAUGUGGUGAAAAGCCAGAAAUCACAAUCUAACCACAUGCAAAACAUUUGCUGAAAGCUUUCAUUAAAAAUAGCCAACAGGAGCUCCCAUCACAGCGCAGGGGAAACUAGGAACCAUGAGGGUGUGGGUUCAAUCCCUGGCCUCACUCAGUGGGUUAAGGAUCCAGCAUUGCCAUGAGCUGUGGUGUAGGUCACAGACGCAGCUCGGAUCUGGUGUUGCUGUGGCUGUGGCAUAGGCCAGCAGCUGUAGCUCCAAUUGGACCCCUAGCCUGGGAACCUCCAUACGUGGUGGGUGCAGCCCUAAAAAGCAAAAAAAAAAAAGUCCCACCUAUUGUGAAGCUGUUUGGAGGGGACAUAUACAAAAUAAAUGAAAAGAACUGUUGUUUUUCUUGAAUAGUAUUCUUGUAGGGCUUAUGUGAUAACUGCAAACUGGAAACGACUGGAUAUUGCACCAAGUUGCUGGGGCUGAUUACAACGGCCCCAUAAAAGGAAGGACCAUCAUUGUACAAACCUGUCUCUUCCAGGCCACCACCAAUUGAACUGAAGAUGUAUUUCCAUCAUAUCCUAUUCUGACAUGUCAGCCCCUAACCGACUUAACUAGCUAAUAUCACUAACUUAAAACCCAAAUCAGUAGGUACUUAGGGAAAAAAGGGUUUUCACUGCUCUAAAAACACAUUCCUUCCCUUUGUUUGUUUGUUUGUUUUUUAGGGGCGCACCCACUGCAUAUGGAGCUUCCCAGGCUAGGGGUCGAAUUGGAGCUGUAGUUGACAGCCUACGCCACAGCCACAGCAAUGCGUGGUCCGAGCUGCGCCUGCAACCGACAGCACAGCUCAUGGCCAGAUCCUUAACCAGUGAGCAAGGCCAGGGAUCGAACCUGCAACCUCUUUGUUCCUAGUCGGGUUCGUUUCCUCUGAGCCACGACAGGAACUCCAUCCUUCCCUUCUUUAUUAAAGGUAGUGUUAAAUCGGCACAGUGUGAGAGCCGCCCUGAACUCGGAAGCACUUGCAUCCGAGAUGGACGCAGAAGCCCAGGCAGCUCUAGUUCCUGUUCGGGGCUGCACUGGUUAUAUACGGCCCAUACACAAAGGAAAGGCCCCAGUACUGCCUCUUUCAUCCGUAAUUUUAAGUAAGAUUGAAAGACAUGCCCCAAAAUGCCAUUGGCUUGAUUCAUGUACUGUCUUCAGUCAAAUCUCAACAUUCCAUUCCAAACACGAAAUAUAUGUUUUUAAUGUAAAUAAGUAAACUUUCCAGCUCUGAAUACGAGGGGGUGGGAAGCCUUUAUCUUGGCGGGGGUUGGGCAGUGCAGCCGUCUAACCUCCUUCAAGUAGCCUUCGAAUCCCUUAAAGUGAAAGUGCUUGUUAUUUGUCUUUAGCAAAUAAAACAAACAGCACUCUUUGAUCUUUAGGAAGCUCUUUCUUGUUCAAGUAACAUUCUGUCUGACUUUUAUGUUUCAGCAUUGUAUAUUUAAUUAUUUUUUAAAGUUUUGUUUUCAAUGAUUACACUUUUUCAUAACUUAGGAUAAACACAGGCAUGCUUUGUUAAAGAUUAAAAAUAAAUCUCACGAAACUGCAAAAGGUGGCAAAGAUAAUACCACAUGGGGUCGGUAUGUUCCAAAACACGAUUCUCAGGGGACCCCCUCUAAACACACUGCUUCAUUAGAAUUCUUGUUCUGAAAAGUUUCAGGAAGCCCCUGACUCUAACCCACCCUUUCCUGAAACUGGUGAAAGUAGGAAAAAAAAUUUCCCCUGCAGUGAAAAAUAGAAGAAUCUCUACACAUCAGGGAGGCAUGUUGUGUCUUUUUUUAGAUUGUUCCUUGGUGCAAAAAUACCUUGCUGCUAACUUUAUCAUGUCCUUCAAACAGGGAACACACUGGGAUAGCAAUCACAAAAACAAGUGUGUUUACAUCAUUCAGUAGAUAUGUUAUCAAAGGACGGCUUUUAAUUCGACUUGAGAGUAAUUUCUAGAGCUUAGUACAUUGAAAACAGCAUCUCACUGCAACCUAUUCAAUAUUGACUGUGACCGUUUAUAAAUACGGGAACUUUUGGAAAUAGCAAGAUAGAGAUAGAAACAGAUUUUUCCUUGGCGACUCAUUUUGCAGCCCUUUCAGACGUAUCUUUGAAUGUUCACUUGUUCUUCCACUUUACUCCUCCUAUUGCAUUUCCUUUAUUCUUUCUGAAACAUUUCCUCUUUCUGCGGUUGGGAGAGCGGUGGGCCCUCAGGGGUCUGGGACGAGGCCGUCUGAAAUGCUAGUGCAGUUCUUGAAGCAGACGGUAGGUGGCGAUGAAAAGCCGUGCCUCUCUGCCAGCCGUCCUUUCUGGAAGUCCCAAAUCAGAAGUGUGAAAAGUCAGAGCUAAGAGGACAGGGGAGAGAGCAGACGGGAACCAGAAAAUGUGGGUGCUGCGCCUCCGGGAGACACCCACGUUUACGACUAGGAUCCAGCUUCCUUACUUUCAGAUGGGAAACGAGUCUACUGCAGCUGAAGAAAUUAAAUAUGUAGACGCAAUGAUAUCUAAAUGAGGGUUCCACUUACUCAGUGCUCCUGAUUUUGCACAUUCUAACAUGCCAGUGCCAUUUGCUAAAACAACAAAAAUGCACACAUGUGAAUUCAAUAAAGUAUUAAAAAGUGGGUUUUUUUUUUUUUUUUUAAGUUUAGAAUUACAGGAGUCUUUUACAGACCUUUCAUAACGUCAGAUUCCUGGAAGGAAAAUCUUUUCCAUAAGGAAUAAUGAAAUAGAAAGGUUUUCUAGAGUUUCUCUAAGAGAACAGGGAAUGAAUUGCCCAAAGAUGUCAAGCGGAGCCAUAGCUAUGGUCCGUAGCUCGGAGUGGAAUGUGAUCGGCCAUCGGAAAGGAAUGCAGUCUGUGUUCGCUGGAAUGAAGUGGGCUUUAUGAGUUAUUCUUUCCCAGGACCAAAAAUUGACAAUCGGUUGGCCUAAAUGAAAGUGUUGCUCUUUGGACAGAGUUGUGGGAAUUAGGAGAGAGACUUAGACAGCUACAAGUUCAAGCACAUUGCUGCCCUGGCACUGGGCCCACUGCAGUCUGAGUAAAAUAGAGCUAAAAGCCAAUUAAUGGAGGGUUAACUCUUCCUUAAAACCUGGAACUAUAUCAUCUUGCAAUUAGAGAUCCUGUGUUCUGACCACUCUCCAGAAGGAAGUAUCGCCGGCGGGACAUCUUUGAGAGGCGACUUCCAGACAUCUUCUGGAACACUCUGAAGCAAGAGCGCCAGCAGCCUUUCAGAAGACCCCAUUCCAUCCCUGCGCCCUCGAUUUCAGCAUUUCUUCAACUGUAUGGAACACACAGACAUACUCUUGGAGGCCUCAGAGUUCUAAAAACGAUCUGCAAAUUUUUGUCUUUUCCUUGGGAUCGCCAUCCAAAAGGAAGUGAUACGUGCGCCUCCUCCGGUGACGCGUUUCUUUUUUAAUUAGUACACUUUAUGUGGACGAGUGGUUUGAGGUUUACAGAGAAACUGAGUGAAAAGUGUAAACUCACCUUCCAGCCCUGACUCCUCCACCUCCAGUUCCCACGAUUAACAGCUUCCGUCCGGGUGGCGUAUUCGUCACAGUUGAGGAGCCCAUAGUAAUACAUUCUUAUUCAUUAAAGCCCAUACUUGGCACUAGGGUUCAUUCUCUGCGUUAUACAUCCUAGGAGUUUUGACAAAUGCAAUGACUCCUUUUUGUCCGAGGACCACCAGAGAGAUUUUCAGUCUUACCUUGCUUUUGUGUUUCGAGACCGGUUCCGCUUUAAUUGUCCCGGAUGAGUAAGACAGGAACAGAGUUGGACUUAAUAGGCAACACGUGAUGUCAGUUUUAGUGAUGGAAACUCACACGCCUCAGACAUGAAGGUUUGUCUGUGGUUCAGAAGAAGAAACGGUUUGCUUGGAGUUACCCCAAGACGUGCUGUGGUCCGCCCUCCCCAAGGCAGACGCCGUCAUCGCUGCCGUGUUCACAUCCUGAAAGGUGAUGUUUGUUUCAGCAAAUAGUAUUUCUCACAUUAAUAUAAGGCUAUUGCAAUAUCGCUGACUUUGUAGUUUGCAUUUGCCUUUGCAUUUGGAGGCGUAGUUUAAUUUGUAAGUUUGCACCACUGUGAGUAUAGGGACUUUAUACCUAGUCAUAUGCCCAUAAUUAAGAAAUGCUUUAGAGAAAAUAUUUGUACAUGAUAUGACUGAUAGGAGGGGACUAUCCAAAAUAUGUAACAGCUCAUACAACUCAGUAUCAAAAAAAAAAAACAAACAAAACACAAUUAAACGUGGGCAGAAGACCUUGAUAGAUGUUUUUCUAGAGAAGACAGGCAGAAGGCCAACAGCCACAUGAAAAAAUGGUCACUAUAAUUACACCAGAGAAAUGUGAGUCAAAGUCGCCAUGAGAACACCUCACAGCUGUCAGAAUGGCUACCAUCAAAAAGACCACACAUAACAAACGUUGGCAAGGAUGUGGCGAAAAGAAACACUUACACACUGCUGGUGGGCGUGUAAACUAGUGCAGUCACUGUGGACGUCAAUGUGGGGGUUCCUCCAAAACUAAAAGUAGAACUACCACAUGAUUCCGCAAUUCCACUCCUGAGUGUGUGUCCCAAGACACUGAAAGCACUCAUUUGAAAAGAUGUGUGCACCCUGGUGUUUGCAGCAGCAUUAUUUAUGGCAGCCAAGAGGCGGAAGCAAGCCAAGUGCCCAUCCAUGGAUGAAUGAAGAAAAUGUGGUGUAUAUGUAGAUAUUCGUGUGUGUGCGUGUGCGUGUGCGUGCCAUACAAAGAAGGAGAUUCUGCCAUUUGGAGCAAUGUCAAUGGACCUCGAGAAUAUUAUGCUCAGUGAAAUAAGACAGACAGAGAAAGAUAGAUACCGUAUGAUAAAAAUUCUACGUGGAAUCUAAUAAAUAAAACAAACGAAUGUAUAUAACAAAACAGAAACAGACUCACGGGUAUAGAGAACACACUAGUGGUUUCCAGUGGGGAAAGGGGACGGUCAAGGCACAGGUGUGGGAUAAUAGGCUUAAGAAACAAACUGCUAUAAAAAUGGAUAAGCAAAAAGGAUAUGUCGUACGGCACGGGGAAUACAGCCAUUGUUUUGUAAUCACUUUAAAUGGAGUAUAGUCUAAAAAUACUGAAUCACUCUGUUUUAAACCUGAAACUAAUAUAAUGCUGUACAU